AGCGAGGCGGGCGGAGGGGCUGCCCCGGGGUUCCGCCGCCUUCUGUUCCUCGCAGCGCGGGUCGGCUCCGCGGGGCUCCGCGCAGCGCCGUCCUACGCGGGAACUCCCCUGUUAUUUUCGGGGGGGGGGGGUGGUAGCUCAUCGGUGCGUUUAAAAAUGAUGUUAUUGGAAAAAAGAGGGUGGCUUGCUGUGCUUGUUUGGCUCUGACACGCCGGUCACCCGUGGAUAGUUAUUCUUUCCCAGCUGGAAACCUGUCACGUUCCCUGGCCAGCCGACACCGCUUACAAAGCGCUGUCAGAAUGGCAGGCAUCGCUUCUGCAGCUGCAAACGCCGUCAUUCGGUCGUACUUUUGUGACCUGAACGUUGCUGACACCUAAAAAAAACCCGCAGCCCCAUUGGCUUCCCCGAUCCGUGUCGCUGCUCGGCUGCGCCGGUGCUCGAGCCCCGCGCUGUCCUGCCCGAACUCGGCGUGUCCCCGCCGGUACCGUGCUCCGGCGGAGCGCACAAGUGCGGCUGGAGAAACGCACGCAGUAGUCAGAGUUCUUGUCAUUUUCGGUCUCGGAGAACCGGCGAGCGAGAAGCAGGCACUGGCUGCCCGGAGAAAUGGAUGCUUUUCCAAAGAGGUCUUAGCCCAGCUCUUCAUGUGAAGAAGACUAAUCGAGUUUUCACCAGGCUUCAUCUAAAAGCGAGGCAUCUCCCCAGUGACACGACAGGUUUUGUUUCAUUUAUCUUCCCGUUUCGCUUGUCUGCGAGCUCAGCACGCACCCAGAGGCAGAGGCAACUGUAAAACAGCAAAGGAAAUUGUAGAUGCGAUGGCUUUAAUAAGAGACAUUUACUUUGCAACCAAAUAUCUUUGUGCCGACAGUGAAACUGAGGUUUCAGCCAAGCUGUGGAGUCAGAUCAUGUAUGCUUUCAGUUUAUUAGCUCAUUUGGAGGCUGGCUGAAGAGAAACCAGAGAUGGACAUCUCUGCACAUGCUCACUCCAAGUGUAGGGUUUUUUAAGUUUGCUGUUCUGGCCGUUUCACAAUUUCAGGCUAACAAAAGUUCCAGGGCUAUAUAAUUUGUAUUAUUUACUAUUAUUUUGUAAGUAGAUAAUUUUGGAGUUACAUACACGAUGCGGUAAAUAAGAGAAUACAUUGAAGAUGACGUUUGAAAACUCUUGGGCAAUAAAAAAGAGAAAAAGUGGACUGUACUGUAAAUGAGAUUUAUUUUUGGGAAGGGCUUCCCUGGGGAAAGGAUGUAGCAUGGAUGCGUAUCCACGUUAACAGCACACCUGGUCUUUCUGCUGCUUGUGUCUGUGAAACGCUUCUGUUCUACCAGCAGCUCGGGAUGCGCAGUAAUAUGACUGGAGCUGAAUUUAUAUGGUUGAUGCCAUCUCGAGAUGGAGAGUGAAAAUCAAAAUACCUGUGUGAUCUCAAGUGCAGUAGAAUUGUUACAUGGGCUCUAGCAGCUGGUAUGUAGAAGCUAAACAAAUCCUUGCAGGGGUGUUAGUUUUAUACUGCGGUAACAUAAACCUCGGCGUGUGGCACUUCAUAAUUAUUAACUAGUCUAGAGGCAAGUUGUGGUGUAACGUGAGUGUUUGAACUUAACAUCUGUGAGCAUAUGUAAAAUACCCACAUUUUGUCUGCAUACGGGAUACAAGUGAGCUGCCAGGAAUCCAGCUCAAGUGAAUGGAAGGUGCACUUCUUGCUUUCUGAUGGUCUCCUCAGCUGGCCGGUGACUCUCGUUGUGGGGAUAACUGCUCAGAGAGGCACAGUGCUUCCUUCCAGUUCCCCCUUUCUCUUCCAAUUCCUCUCCCAUGUCCUUAUCACAACCAGCAUGUGCAGCAGGCUGAACAGUUGGACUGGAUGCGGCCAAGCGUCCAGCAGGGGAUGCAGGAGAGAGCCGGCGCUGUUCCUGGCACCGCUUCCCGUGCAAAUUGUCUGACAACCAGCAGCCAGACACUGGUGGAAGUAUCUACACAACACUGCUGCGAUGUGAAGUGCUCGUACAGUACUUUGCACAGCAGGAUCCUGAUUCAUGCAUGUGGCUUCUACAGCUAUGAUAAUACACUUGGAUAAUAGUAACAAUGGCUUGUAUCACUACUCCGUUUUAUCCAUGAGAAAGAAAAACUUACAGAUUAAAGCCAAAACCAUCAGAAGUAUCAGCUAGCCUUGAGUGCACAGCCUAACACCUGAUUUUUUCCAGCCAUAUGGAGUAUGUGACAUCGGGGCUCAGCAGAUGACAGCCUCCUCCUGCAGAGUUGCAUCGCGCCUUCUUUCUGGGCUGCCCCAAACUUUUGUCCCAGUGUGACAUUCAGCGUCAGCCUCCACUCCCGACCCUUUUGCACUCGCUUGCUGCUGCCUCUCACUUUGUUCUGCAUGCCAGCGUCAUGACCCGUGCUGAGAGCGCGGCCGUGCUCACUGCUCUGGAGCUGGGAGCUGCCAGCGGGAUGCGUGCAGCCUGCUGCAGGCACUGCUCCAGCCACUCUGCACCCGCUGCCGGGGGGGUCCUUGCAAAACCUGGUGCCAGAACCUCACGGUUUUCUGCUUUUUUGAAGGUGUGCAAAAUGUCUGCUGCUAGGGACUCAGAAUGUGACCGAAUCUGGACGUGGUUUCAUGGUGCUGAAUGCACGCUAGUGAAACCCGGGUAAACAACAACAAAAAAAAAAGAAAAGAAAUUGCACCAAAGCAUGGAAAUUAUAGAUCUGGAAUGAAUGCAAGUUGGAAAGAGUAUAUAGGCAUUAAAAAGGCUUGCAAAUGAU